CAAAUCGUUAGUUUCUUAAGUUUCGUCUUCUAAUUCAGUCACUUUUCUAAAUCUUCGUUUGUCAUAAUUAUCAUCGUGACAUUUUUGUAAUUUAGUAAAAUAUUGUUUUAUUUCUUGUCCAAAUCAUUGAAAAACACUUGCAAAGUAUAAAACUUUGUAGAGGGAGCAUUGUGUUGAUUUGUAUUGAAUAACUAAUUCCUGGAUCUAAUUCUAACUGUAGCCUAAGUAAUUUUGCUUCAUUAUAAUCUUAGUGCCGUCACAAAUCACACAUAUUGUUUAGUGUAACUAAUACAAACUUUUUGCAGUUAACAUAUCAGUGAAAUAGACAAAUCUAAAGUGUUUAAAAAAAAUGUACAAAUUUAAGAGACAUACUGUUAUAGGUGCCACACGACCUCAAGGUAGAAUAAGCUCAACAAUCUACAGCAAUGGGAAACUUUUGUACGUUUUCGGUGGAUUUGAUCCUACUAGUGCCCGUUUUCAAGAAUUCUUCAACAGUGUACCUCCCCCAAGACACAAGCCUGAUUUUCUUGAUCUAUGGGCUUACGAUUUGUCAAAGAAAACGUGGUCUUUAGUGAUAAAUAAGGAGGGAUUACAUUUAUCAGAUCUAGUUUAGUGACAAAAUAAUUACCACAAUAUUUUUUCCACAUUUCCUUAUGAUUUACACUUACGCCACUCAGCCUGGUUAGAAGCGUGCAAGUCAUAAAAUUGGUCUUAUUGGAUAUAAUUAUAAAAGCCAAAAAGUUGGUAUUCGAUAUAAAAUUGGAAGACAACCAAUUGAUUCAGCAGCAAACUAACAUGAUUUGCCAUAAAAAUUGUGUUUACGGUAUAAAACUUGCCGGAUUUAAAAAAAAACCAGUUUUGAUAUCUAUAAAUUAGAUUCGCAUACUUUCGAAUUCAGAGUUUUCUCUAAGUAUGAUGACUCCAAGGACUGCAAUUAUUUGGUAUCAUCUCAACAUACUUUAGCUUACGAUGGAAAGUCCAUUUUUGUUAUUGGUGGAUAUAUUAAUCUGGAUACUGGAGAAACAUUUAUCCCUUUGAGAAGCAUUCCAGUAUUUGAUUUUGAAAGCGAAGCUUGGAGAAUUGUGGAUACUCAUGGAGAUGAGAAUGAAACAUCACAUUUUCCAGUCUUUCCAAUGGAAAGAGUAAAUUUUAGCAUAACACAAUUUACAGACCCAAACACCGGUGACGUAAAUGUUGUUAUAUUUGGAGGAACCCAACCCCCUUGGAAACAAACAGAAAGAAUAACAGGAGGUAGAAAUGAUAAUGUUUAUACCGACUUUUGGAAAUUAAAUCUCAGAAGUAUGAAAUGGAUAUACUUGGGAGUGAUACCGUCUGGAAUAGGUGAUAAACCUGCUGCGACAGUUUCACCUUAUGGUCAGUUAUUCAUCUUUUGAGGAAUAAUGAAGAACUCAAACGGCGUAAAUAAAUCUUCGUCGGAGAUUUAUUCAACCUGGCUCUGUGUUCCAAGACUAAAACAAAUUUGUUGGCAAGCUGUUAUGCAACAUAUUCCAGAUAUAGCUUCAAAAACU